rnacentral:rRNA from 1 species
UACGUAGGGUGCAAGCGUUGUCCGGAAUUAUUGGGCGUAAAGAGCUCGUAGGCGGUUUGUCGCGUCGAAUGUGAAAUCCCGGGGCUCAACCCCGGGUCUGCAUUCGAUACGGGCAGACUAGAGUUCGGUAGGGGAGUCUGGAACUCCUGGUGUAGCGGUGAAAUGCGUAGAUAUACGGAGGAACACCAGCGGCGAAGGCGGGUAGCUGGGCCAACACUGACGCUGAUGCGCGAAAGCUAGGGUAGCAAACGGG